AACCUAAAUUUAAAAAAGAUUCUUUCAGCUGAGGCUGUAGGCCUAUAUAGAUCUAGUGUAACCACAGCUAUUUUUAACAUGAAUUUAUUGGUCCAUGUAGGCGGCACCUUCGAUAUGGGGUCAUGGAGGUCACGAUGUAAAAAAAAAAAAGGUGGGGGCAUUAUAAAACCGGUCAACAAUGUUGAAAAGCAUUACGAUUCACAGGGUGCUAAAAAAAUGGAGGGGGCAGAAAGAGAAGGAGAGAAAGAUCAGACCGUCCAUUUUCAAUGUUCUAAAUGAGAGACCAUUACAAUGUGAAAAAAAUAAGGGGGAUGGUUCGAUCUAGAGAGGGAGAAAGAGAAAGAUUUUUACAAUUCAAGUUGAAAGCCUCAAUGAGAGAGCAUCAGGGUCGGACUGGCUUAAAAAACCGGUCCGGGAAAUUUGGUCAUGGCAGCGGCCCACUUCAUCAUGAGUUUCAUAUAAUUUUUUUCAAUAAUUUAAUAUUUAUAUAUUUUUCUUUAGUUUCUAUAAUUAUUUCAUAUAUAAUAAUAAAAAUAAUGAAAUUUUAAAGUUCAAAAACACUACUUUAAGCUGUAAGAAUGUUUUUUAUUUAUUACAUGUUCAAAUUCGUAAUUAUGCAAAACAACAUUAAACAGUUAAAUAACUCCUAGUUUUAACAACCUAAACAUAAGAAACACUACAGUCUAAAAUUUCAAUUCACUAAUGACUAGUAUAACAGCUUUUUCAUCGUUUCACUAGUCGAUGCUAAAACAUCAAUGAUAUCAUUGUUAUUGAUUGUUGGAAGAAGGUCCUUCUCACAAGACACCAGCAUGAAUGAUUGUAAAGUUGACAGGCUCAGCAAAUUUCUUAAUCUGUUCAAAAUGUAGGCCUAUUUCAAUUUUGAAAACCACCUCUCACAAGCAACUUGUGAUGAGGAUAAUGUCAAAACAAAUUUGUAAGCCAGAUACAAAUUUGAAUAAGCAAGACUUUGCAAAUUAAACUUUUGGAGAACAAAAUAACAAGAAACAAUACAUUUUUUGCAAGAAUUGCAUUCAUUUGCAUUCAUGGUUGUUGCCUGGUAAUUCAGACUGUUGAAUGUUGUCUGAGACAGAGUCUGAUACUUCCAUUUCAAAGACCAAAUUAUAUUCAUCUUCAAAAGUUGCUUGAAAAUUUUCCCAUUUCCUUGCAAAAUCCAAUAAUUCAGUUUGAAGCUGAUCUUUUUGUUACAGUAGGGUAACGUGGGGCAAAAAGCCCUUAGGGGUAAAAGGCCUUUCUUAAUUUUUGUGCGAAUGGCUUAUUGGAUGAUUCAAAUUAAGACUUCCUGAGAUAGCUCACUUCCUUUCUUUUAAUGCACGUUGAGCUUGAUGUAGUAGCUUGUCAAUUUAUCGUCACAGAUCACUUUGAAUUUUUCUACCUAUCUCACUAUAAGAUGUUCCUUCAGAGUUGAAGAUUAUUACUUCCUAGUCCAAACCUCCCGCAGGACGACGGAGGAUGGGAGCGGGCAGGGUUUGAACCCUGGACCACUGACAAAUCUGAACGACAGUCCAGCGCGCAAACUGCACGACCAAAAAAUGUUAAGAAAUUACCAGAGAAAAAACACAAGACUCGUAUGGACAACAUUCUUGACAGGAGCUUUAAAAGCUAUCGCUGAUGGGAUGCCACUUAACAAUGUCUCCGAAAAAAUUACAUUUAUAAUUAUUAAAUAUUUCACUUAUACUUUUUAAA